rnacentral:tRNA from 1 species
UGGGUUGUGGCUCAUCAGUAGAGCGCUUGCCUCACAUGUGUGAGGCCCUGGGUUUGAUCCUCAGCACCACAU